CUCAGAAGCAGUAAAGGUCAUCUAAAAUAUCUACACAAAAGAUGAGCAGAAAGUUGAAAUCCUGAAGAAGUAAAGUCUCUGCAAAUCAAAUCAAUAUCAGCAAGAGACUAACCAUACAAAAUGUCCUUGAGCCCGCAUAGACUCAGCUCACUCAUCAGAAUCCAACACAGUGUGAUUCAGCCAGAUUCCUCUGUACAAUAGACAUCCUGAACAGUCCCUGGGCUCCAACCCAUCAUCAAAGUCCCCUCUGUCAAAAACUUCACCUGUUGACUUUCAAAGACUAGGACAGGAUCAACUGUGUUCUACAGACUUGGAAAUAUGAUCGCAACGCAUUGCCUUCCCUGCAAAAUUUUUACAGUUGCUGCAGAGACAACAAAGGUGUGCCACAAAUGUUGAUGUAGGUGCAGGAAAUGAAAAGCACACAACUAAAAGAAAAAUGCAAAAGGCUUUCUUGAAAAGAAAAUCUGUAUGUGCUUUAUAAGUUUCAUCUGAAAGCCAAUGUUAACCUGCUGCUUUAUUUAACCCUCUGCUGAGCACUGCAUAUGGGACAUUGCAAACCGAUGUCAUUUGAGAUGUGUUAGGACCAUCACCUAGUGAUUACCUUCCUUAGAAGAUAAUAUUUUAUGUUAAAUAAACAAUGGUCUCCAGAGAAUACUUGUUUUUAGAAAGAAUUGGGAGAGAGCAGUGCAGUAAUCAAAAGGUGAAAGAGUCCAGAAAAUGAAUACAGUGUGUCAAAGUAUUAAUUAAAGUAUUUUCUCUCUUUCUGGAUGAGAUGAGUGGGGAAGAGAAGGGUUGUCAUUGGCCUUUAGUUUUUUGUUGCUGAGUAAGUGAAAAGAAAUGGAAAAUGAGAUUCUUCCAGUUUCAAACUGUUACAAUAUGGUGACUUACAUGCCCUACAGAGAAUUCCUGAAGGCACGAACCCAGUCACAAAUUGGCGCACAUCAGCAUUUUGCAUAAAAGGAAAGCAUCCAUAUCUGACUCAAGCAACAAUGAAAUCAAUACAGAAACAUUUCCAGAGAAGUCCUGCAGGUUUUUUAUGCAUUUAUAGCUAGUAUAUUGUGCAAAAAAUCUUCUGACUGUUUAAUAAAUCAACUUUAGAUCCACAAUUCCUAAACUUCCAUGAUUUUCUUUAUCAUCAGCUAGAGAGCACCCUGAAGAUAGGAAGUCACAUUUGUUUCCCCUACUGUUUCUAUCCUUAUUAGAUGGCUUAUCUCUCUGCUGGUUUUUUGAUAGGUUUGGAUACAGGAGUUAAAUUCAUAUCUUAUAGUCUCUCUACCACAGCCUCCUCCAAAGCUUGCAGAAUAUCGUGAAAAGAGUAUCUGGCAACUCCAGGGCCAAAACGCUGCCCUCAGCUCUCUGCCUCGGCCCAGACCUGUCUGUCAAUAGAAUUAUGCCCAUCCCUGGAAUUGUAUUUGAUUUUAUUUACCAUUGAAUAUCUGAGCUACCUGCUUGAGUUAAGUAAUUAUUUUAGGUAAUCCAAAAAACAUACCUAAAAUGAUUUUGCAAGUAUAUUUAAAAUAAUGUUUAUGUACCUUCAA
rnacentral:lncRNA from 1 species